rnacentral:lncRNA from 1 species
GUUUCAAUUUCUUCGUCUGAGAAUUGUCUGUUUAUAUCCUUUGACCAUUUAAUUGAUACCCUUUUUCAAAGUGUUCUUGUAGUGCAUCUUAUAUAGAGCUCAUCAUUUACCUUUACAACAUGGCUAUGAAUUUAAUAAGUGAUCCAUGUUUUUAUUGCCCUCCAAAAAUGAAAAAAUAGGUCCUAUAGAGGUUAGAUGGUUUCCCUAGAUUAUAUAAUUUCUGAGUUAAUCCAAGAAUAGAGCUCAGAGCUCCUGACUCCAAAGUCAAUGCUUUUUUUUCCCAUUACACUAUACUGUUCCAUCUUCUACAUUUUUGGGAACCGCCUACUAAGCAAGUCCUAACUCGAAAAAACUGAGUAUGCAAAGAGAGCAUUCAGGUCUGAAUGAGGCUGAAGCACCUUGUUCCUGCCCUUACUGUAUUAAAGCACUGCAUUUAAAACACUAAGUCAUCUUUCUGAACACCCUCUCUUUAAAGUCUUCUUUUGUCAAUGGAAUGAUUUUGACCUGAUUAGAGUUUGCCCAGUAAUAUACAAUCAAAAGAGUUCUUUGUCAAAGAGCCAAUGUCAUACUUAACCCACUUAAAACACAUCAAACAUUGUGAUUCUGACCCCAGUAAUUCGGCUUUGUGAUCAUUUGGGCAUACUCCAUUGCUUUACCUUUUCACUUCUCAAAAAGAAAAAUUUUUUAAAAUGAAUGAAUUUUGUAAAUAAAAUUUCUGUAAUGUAGCUUCAAAUGCUUAGGACAAACUUUCAAGCUUUUUUAAAUGCAUUUUAGAAGCAUUUGUUUACAUAUAAUUGAUAUAAUAAUUACAAAUCAUUUUGUCUAUUCUUUUAUCUAUUUAUCUUUAUUCUGUUCUUACAUUUGUAUGCUGUUGUAUAGAAUAUCUAUAUUCUGUUCGUAUCUUAUUUAUUAGUUCAAAGUGAUUAGUCUACUUUAAAAAAAGGUAAAGAUUUUUGAGAAAGGAAGUGACAUGGUUAAAUCUAGCUUUAGGAGGAUUAUAUUAACUGUUGUGUGCAGGAUGCAUUAGAAAGAGCAAAACCUGAAAUCAGGAAGACCUCAAUUCAAAUCUAGUCUCAGUAUUAUUAAUAAUAAUACUUAUUAGCUGUAUGAUUCUAGGCAAGUCAAGUGACUUCUGUUUCAGUUUUCUCAUCUGAAAAAUAGGUAUAAUAUUGUGGACCUAGCUCCCAAAACUGUUGUGAGGAAAAAUAUUUGUAAUGGUCUUUGCAGACCUUAAAGCACCAUAUAAAUGACAAUAGUUAUUAUUAUAUGUCCCUUUAUCCAUGAGGCACUUCCCAUUUCCCUCAGCCAGAAGUAAUCUCUUUUCCUUCUGAACUAAUAUUUUUAAAAUAUAAAUGAUGGCAUUUGGGAGCAGCAACACAGACUUAGCUGUCAGUGUGUUGGAGGAAGGGGAGUAGUUUGAGAGUGAAAACUCCCUCCCUCUUUCCUUAAUGGAAGUCUGUCUUUCAGCUCACUCAUCCCUAGGGACUGCUUUCUUUUCACAUCCUCAACCAGUGGCCUUUCUGGAUACUACCAGUGCCAGCCAGCAAUUGAAAAUUGAUAUUAAGCUUUACUGAACUUUGUUUUCAGCUGGAGCUUCUUAAUUCUUAUAUCAGAAAACACAAAGACCCAAAUACUACUUUUUCUCUUUCUUUGAUGUACUACACUCUCCAAUAACCAUGUGCCUGGCACCCCUAGCCAGAUACAUUGGCACAUAAAGCUGCUCACCUCCUGGGGAUCCUUCCUCCAUUUCACUUCUAGCAUUCAAAGAAGCAGAAUCUGUGCAGAUUUGAAAAGCCAUCUGAAUUUUAAUACUUUAUCACAAAAAUACUGUGAAAACAUGUAAAACAAUGCCAUUGACUAAGAUCAAUUUUAAAAACAGUUAGUUUGCAGCUGCUAAAAGAGGGAAAAGAAGACCAGUCUCUCCAGACUAGGAGAGAAGAGCAGGUGAGAGUUUGCACCUGAUAUAGUCAAAAUUGCACCAGUCUCACUGCCCUGCCUCAUGACCUCCUGUAGUUGUUUCACAAGCUCCCAUCUGCUCUCCACGUGAUCCAUUUUUUCCUCUUCUCUGCUUGUUUCUUUGUGUCUUACUUGCCUACUUUGCCUUUUGCCUGAGGCUCUUGGAUAAUUUGUCCUCAAAUCAAGUCAAAAAUCUUCCCAGAGUUUAGGGAAUAUUGGAAAGAAAACUAUUUGACCCAUAAAAAGAGUUAUCUCCACUAUUGCUCUUUGCUCUUUGUCCAAAUCUUUUGGCAGAGCUACAAAAGGUAGGUUACACAAAAUCUAUAAACAUCUUGGAUGACAGAGUUAAUAUUAAAUAUUAUCUUGACAGACUAGAAUUUUGUACCAAUUCUCAGAAAAGGACAUGUAAAAGAAGAGAUGGGAAAGGAAAAAAAGGGAGGAGAGUAAGCAUUUAAGUACCUACUAUGUUCCAUUUGCUGUGCUAAGCUAUUUACAGAUAUUACCUCAUUUGAUUUCCCACAAUAACUCAGUGAGGGGUUAUUUUCCGUUUUACAGAUGAGAAAACUGAGGGAGACAGACUUGCCCAAAGUCAUACAACUAGUACAUAUUUGUACUAGGUCACAUCCAACGCAUACACUACAAAGUCUACUUUGUACAAAAGUCUACUACUUGAGCUUAAAAAUCAUCUGUGUUAUGUAAAAAUAAAGUUUAAAGUCAUUUAAUCUCUUAAAACCAUGGAAAACUCAUGAAGACUCAAAGGGACAGAGAUCUUCCUGACUCUAGGUGCUUUAUUCACUUCACCACCUAGUUACAGUGUGACAUAGCAGUCCAAAAAGCUAAUAUAAUCUUGGGAUCUGUUGUUAGAAAUAUAAUUACCAAGAUAAUGAAAACAAAUCAUUCUUCUGUAGUCUAGCUUAGCCAGACAACAUCUGAAAGAUUAUGCUUAAUUCGGAGUAUUACAUUUUAGAAAGGAUGCAGACAAAUUGAAGGGAAUCAAAAGAAAAGCCAUCAGAAUGAUGAAAUUGAAGGAAGAGGGGAGGUAUUUUAUUUAUUAAAGAGGAAAUUUUGGGGGAACAAGAUAAUAGCUGUUUUCAGGUACUUUCAGGGCUAUCACGUGAACUUGGUCCCAGGGGACAAGCAGGAAUAGUGGGAGGAAAUCCUGUAUAGGGGGAGGAAUAGUGGUAGGAUACUUCAACAUGACUUGUGGAAUAAUUUAUCAACAAAUAAACUCUGGAAAUAGGGAACAAUCCAUCUCAGGAAGUAUGGAGUUACCCAUUACGGCAGCUUCCAAACCUUGUCACUCAUACUUGCUGCAUUUCUCCAAUCUUUGCCAAAUGUUGUUCUUUCUACCUUCACAUCAUGCCUCCUCUACCUCCAUUUCUCUCCACUCUCACCCCCUCACACCUGGACUAAGUCCCUCCUCCCACUCCAAUCCAUCCUCCGCUCAGCUGAGAAAGCAAUCUUCCUCAGGAACAGGUCUGACUGUUACUACCUGCUCUUAUCAGCUCCAGGGAACUACUGUUCCCUCUUAUUUCAAGGAUCAAAUAAAUAUGAAGUCCUCCUUUGGCUUUUAAAGCCCUUCCCAAUCUGAUUCCUCCCUAUCUUUCUAGUCUCCUGACACUUUGGGCCAAUGUUCCCUCUUGCAUCUGAUGUCAUCGCCAAACAUUUUGAACUGUCUUGCCGUUGGAGGCUGAUGACUUUGCCCAGUCCUGCCACACUUAAAUCCAAUUCACUUACAAGUCAAGACAUCCUCCUCCUGUCAUGUAAGGGUGAACAAGGACAAAGGACCUGACAUUUUAUGCCCCCUUCAUGCCUUCUAGGAUUCAGCUAUGCUAGCCUAUGGGCAGUUCCCUUCUGAGAUUAUUUCCCAUUUCUGCAAUUAUGUGGAAAGACAGGGUGCUUUGAUGUUGUUUCACCUAUUAGAAUGUGAGUUCCCCGAGGGCAGAGACCAUAUUUUUGCUUUUCUUUGUAUCUCUAGCACUUAUCACAGUACCUGGCAAACAGGUACCACAUGUUUAAUAAAUGCUUGUUGACUAUUGACUAUUGAUGUAGUUGUAGAGGGAAUGUUUGGUCAGGUAGAAGUCAGAUUAAAUGGCCUCUGAAAUCCUCUCUAUAUACAUGUACACAUAUACAUAUAUAUAUAUAUAUAUAUACACACACAUAUAUACACACAUACACAUACAUAUAUACACAUGUAUAUGAACAUACAUAAAUACAUACAUAGACAUAUAUAAACAUACACAAAUAUACAUGUGUACAUAUAUACGUAAAUAUAUACAUAUGUACACACACAAAUUUAUAUAAAACACAAGAUGGAACCUCCUGGAAUCUUUACCCUAUAAGUGCUGCCCUUUCCUCAUACAUAUGAUCAUCUGAAAAUAGCAAAUAGGAAGCAUCUUGUAACCUGAUUUCUUUUAGCCUGCUUUGGCCUAAUUUCCCCAAGCCUUGUUCCUAUGGGCCUGAGCUACUUUGUGUGGCUCCUAUACAUGAAUUAGAAACCAUUAAUGACCCAGUGCUCUGCUAUUAUACUUGACCUGAAUUCAGGUUUAAACUUUGUCACGGUGAAAUCUGAGUGCCUAAAGUUAAUUUGGAAUUUGUUCUCACUAAAAAAGAAAACAAUGAAUAAACUCUAGAUUAUUAUUAGAAAAGGCCUGACAUUUAAUUGAAUUUUUUUCCUAACAGUUCCUAAAAUACCAUCAGAUCUGACCCACCAGACACAUGAAGAGUUUGCUUAGGGGCAUUAUUCAGGGCCAAAUAUGGGAAAAGUCAAGCAGUAUAUAGAAAACAAACAAAUGAGUCAUAGUGUUGAGUAAACUAUUCCUUGGCUCAAAUGUAUGAAAACUCAACAAACCAAAGUGUCUCUGUGAGAUACUUUUUGCUAGUGUCCAAAGAUGAAGUGAAAAAAUGUUGCCCCAGGAAUCUCGAGACCACUAAAAAGCUAUAUAGUUUGAAGGGGGAGGGAGGUAAAACUAUAGAAUCUCUGAAGUCCCUUCCAUAUUCUAUAAAUUUGACAAUUCUCCUUCAGGCUUAAUUUUUCUUGAUUUGUGAGAUGAAAGUGUUAAACUAGAUGUUCUCUAAUGUCCCUUUCAGCUCGGAAUCUAAAAUCUCCAGAAAUGGAACCUGAUUUGAACUAUCUGACCUUUGGUCAGCACUGAUGAGGCUGAAUGUGUCAUUUAUGGGCUCAUAUUUGGAUACCUGUGUGUACUCAAGCUUGGCGUUUUUGUUUAACUAUUAUUUACUGAGCACCAUCUCUCUGUGUUGUUGGUGCUGAACAGGGAUGAACACAUUCAGUAAGCUUCUCUACUUAGCAAAGGAGGAUUGACCCUGAAGCCAAUGAAGGCAAAUUUAAUAACUUUAUGAUAAUAAUUAGGCUUGUUGUUGCUGAGUUGUUUUCAGUUAAGUCUUGAGUAGUAGCUUGUUGUUGUUCAGUGAUUUCAGUAGUGACCCCAUUUGGGUUUUUCUUAGCAGAGAUACUGGAAUGUUUUCCUGUUUUCUUCUCCAGCUCAUUUUACAGAUGAGGAAACUGAGGCAAACAAUUAAGUGACUUGCUCAGGGUCAUACAACUACUAAGGUUCUAUUUGAACUCAGGUCCUCCUUCCUUGAGAUGCUCUAUCUACUGGGCCAUUUAGCUACCCUAAUUAGACUUGGGAAGAUGAUGUAAUGAGAAUUUUGGAUUUGGAGAAAGUAUGGGAUUUAGUAAUAUUCUUUCCACUAGUUACCUGUAUGUCAUUGGGCAAUUUCCUUUCUCUGAGCCUCAAUUUCCUUCUCUGUACAAUGGGGAGGAGGUAUCAAACGACCAUUUUUAAGAUCCUUCCUAGUUUUCAUAAACUCCUUGAUUCCACUAACAAGAAAUCCUCUCCCACCUCUGACGGUUUUCAUUAACUAUUCCCCAUGCCUCUUCAUUUCUGUCUCUUGGCUUCUCUGGUUUCUGAUAAGUUCCAGCUACAGAAAACCUUCCUUUCUAUAGGAAAGCUUUCCAAAUCUCCCAUAAUUCUAAUGUUUCUCCUUUGUUGAUAGUUGCCAAUUUAUCCUGUAUAUUGUGUAAUUUGUACAUAGUUCUUUUUAAUAUUGUUUUCCCCAAUAAACUAAAAACUCCUUAAGAGCAGAGACUGUGUUAUGCCUUUUUUUUAUCAGCAUUUCCUGGAUUAGCACUGUAGUUAGAAUUGAUUGACCCUGAUAAUCAUUAAAAGGGAAGUGUUCUCAUUGAAUCAUUCCAUAAAUUAGAGCAUAAACCAUGUAUAAAUAAGAUCUAGACAGCUCUAAUUGGUAAGAAGUUUUUCCUUACAUCAGCCUAAAUCUCCCUCUUUUCCAUUCUCUUCCAUUGCUUCUAAUUCCUUUCUUUGAGACAAAAUGCUCAGUCAGGUCUCUGAAUCAUUCUCUAUUCAACUUCCUUUGCUAUCAAAAUGCCUUUGACUAGAUAUGGGCUGUUCUAUCUCUGAAACUGUGAAAUACUUGAAGACAGUUUUUAUGUCCCUCUUAAAUCUCUAGUAAAAAGACUUGAGUUCAUCUCAUCUCUGCUAUUUACUAACUCUUUGAAUUCUACAGAAGUGCCUUAAUCUGAGUCUUACUUUCCUGAUCUCUAAUCUGGUUAUAGGGGAAAGGAGAGAGCAAGUACUUGAGAUGGAGAAGUGCUGAAAUGAAUCUAUACGUUCUCUCUAUAGCUUUAAUAUUCUAUGAUUCUAAAGUAGCCAUUUUAAAAGGAUGUUUUCAUCAAAAUGGGAUAGUUUGAUGGAUUAAUUAUAUUUGUUUAUUGCAGUGCAUGUGUAUAAUUUGUGCUAGAACCUCCUUACAAGUUACUUUCCAUCCUCUCUGCAUAUAUCUAUUUAUUUAUACACUAUCCUCCCAAGUUGUUGCCUCCUUAGAGUGUGAGCUCCCUUAGAGCACGAAUUGCUUUUUGCCUUUCUUUGUAACCCAGAUAGUACCUGGCAACAUAGAAAGUGCCUAAUAAUGCUUAUUGAAUAACUGUACACAACACAGUCAGAAAAGCAGUUUUGUCAGGUGCUUAUUCAGCAGUACAACUUUAUUCUUCACAGAAUUCCUUAGGUUGCUCUAUAGCACUCCAAUAUUCUGUGUGACAGCUUGGAAAACACUUAAUCCAAUUGCCUGACUUGACAAAUGAGUUCACUAAGGACAAUUACCCAACUGUUGGAAAAUCCAGGACUAGAAUUCAGGUCUCCAGACAUCUUGGCCAACCCUUUUUCUCUUUGCCUCUCUGUCUGAAUAGCAUCAAUUACUGUAGUACUCUGACAAUGGUGCAUAGUUAACAUGGAACAUCUGGAGCCAUAUGGGUAAUUCAUUCAGAGAAUUAGCUAGUGGUCUCAGCAUAAGUGAGGAAACCCGGAACCAGAAUUUUAAGCCUUAGCAAUUUACUGUAUCCUUGAGGGAAAGUCUCUUAAUACCUCUUUAUUUGAACUCUCUCAUCUGUUUAAUUGUAAUUCCAAAGUUUACCCCCACAGGGUUAUUUUAAAAGAUCAGUCAAUCAUGUUUGAAAAAGCACUUGGACUAGAUUAGAAAUAAAACAUAAUUACCAACAAACCCUCUUAGGUUUUAGAAAUAAUGCCUGUCUUUAUCCCAUGGAUUUUGGCAAGCUGACUUCCAUCCCCAGACUUCUAAAGAAGUUUUACUAUAAAAUAACUUGUUCUGUGAAUUAAGAAACUUUUGUAAUUAAAUAAAUUAUAAAUAGCAUGGGUGUUUAACAAGACAAUAUCUGCUAAAAAUGUAUGAUCAGUUCAGAAGGUCUUUAAAAAAUUAUGCAUGUGGUAACAAUGUCUCAUGUACUUCCAUUAUCAAAAACAUUGAUGGAUCUGGAUGGAUGGCGUGAAUAGUUAGAAGGAUGGGAUAAUUUACUGAUGGGACAACUUAUUAAAGCCUGCAGAACUUAAAAAAUAAUGUUGGAAGUAGGAGCACCUACCACCUAUGCUCAUUAAUACUUUGCUGUCAUGAAAUCAGAGAUUUUUAGGAUUGAAGAAAGAAGACUUAGUAGGCAAGAAAGCAGGGUGGUACCUGGUAAAAGUUCUGGAUUUGGAAUAAGAAUAAAUUGAUCUAAAUUUCUGCUCUUACUUGGAAUGGAAAAUGCCACCCGCAUCCAGAGAGAAUUAUGGAGACUGAAUGCAGAUUGAAGCAUACUAUUUUCACCUUUUUUUGUUUUCUUUUUCUUUCUUGUGGUUUUUCCCUUUUGUUCUGAUUUUUCUUUCACAAUAUGACUAAUGUGGAAAUAAGUUUUGAAAGAUUGUACAUGUAUAACCUGUAUCGGAUUACUUGCUGUUUUGGGAAGAGGGAAAAAAGGAACAGAGGUAAAGAGAAG